rnacentral:rRNA from 1 species
CACUGCAUGUCAAUGUUUUGUACACUGGCUGGAGGUAUUUUAUAUUUACUCUGAAGCUGAGCAGAGCUGGGCCUGGUCAGUACUUAGAAGGAAGACCACUGGGAAUACCAGCCACAGCAGUGU